AGUGAACGCUGGCGGUAGGCCUAACACAUGCAAGUCGAACGGCAGCACAGUAAGAGCUUGCUCUUACGGGUGGCGAGUGGCGGACGGGUGAGGAAUACAUCGGAAUCUACUUUUUCGUGGGGGAUAACGUAGGGAAACUUACGCUAAUACCGCAUACGACCUACGGGUGAAAGCAGGGGAUCUUCGGACCUUGCGCGAUUGAAUGAGCCGAUGUCGGAUUAGCUAGUUGGCGGGGUAAAGGCCCACCAAGGCGACGAUCCGCAGCUGGUCUGAGAGGAUGAUCAGCCACAAUGGAACUGAGACACGGUCCAGACUCCUACGGGAGGCAGCAGUGGGGAAUAUUGGACAAUGGGCGCAAGCCUGAUCCAGCCAUACCGCGUGGGUGAGGAAGGCCUUCGGGUUGUAAAGCCCUUUUGUUGGGAAAGAAAAGCAGCAGGUUAAUACCCCGCUGUUCUGACGGUACCCAAAGAAUAAGCACCGGCUAACUUCGUG
rnacentral:rRNA from 1 species